UGAACGCUGGAGGAAUGCCUUACACAGGCAAGUCGAACGCGAAAGGGGGCAACCCUGAGUAGAGUGGCGAACGGGUGAGUAAACUAUAGUUAAUGUGCCUCGAAGACUGGGAUAGCCACUGGAAACGGUGAUUAAUACUAGAUACACCUCUUUAGCUCAAGCUGGGGAGGGAAACGUUUUUUCGCUUCGAGAUCAGACUAUAUCCUAUCAGUUAGUUGGUGAGGUAAUGGCUCACCAAGGCAAUGACGGGUAGCGGUUCUGAGAGGAUGAUCCGCCACACUGGUACUGAGACACGGACCAGACUCCUACGGGAGGCAGCAGUGAGGAAUAUUGCACAAUGGGGGGAACCCUGAUGCAGCAACGCCGCGUGGAGGAUGACGCAUUUCGGUGUGUAAACUCCUUUUAUAUGUCAAGAAAAUGACGGUAGCAUAUGAAUAAGCACCGGCUAACUCCGU
rnacentral:rRNA from 1 species